rnacentral:rRNA from 1 species
CCUACGGGCGGCUGCAGUGGGGAAUAUUGGACAAUGGGGGGAACCCUGAUCCAGCCAUGCCGCGUGUGUGAAGAAGGCCCUCGGGUUGUAAAGCACUUUCAGUGAGGAAGAACGCCUGGUGGUUAAUACCCAUCAGGAAAGACAUCACUCACAGAAGAAGCACCGGCUAACUCCGUGCCAGCAGCCGCGGUAAUACGGAGGGUGCGAGCGUUAAUCGGAAUUACUGGGCGUAAAGCGCGCGUAGGUGGCUUGAUAAGCCGGUUGUGAAAGCCCCGGGCUCAACCUGGGAACGGCAUCCGGAACUGUCAAGCUAGAGUGCAAGAGAGGAAGGUAGAAUUCCCGGUGUAGCGGUGAAAUGCGUAGAGAUCGGGAGGAAUACCAGUGGCGAAGGCGGCCUUCUGGACUGACACUGACACUGAGGUGCGAAAGCGUGGGUAGCAAACAGGAUUAGAUACCCUUGUAGUC